AACGCCGGGCAGCUCACCGGAUAAGACAGCUGGAUGAUAGCCGGGCUGAAGACUCUGCUUGACUAGCUGAGAGGAGGUGCAUGGCCGUCGUCAGUUCGUACUGUGAAGCAUCCUGUUAAGUCAGGCAACGAGCGAGACCCACGCCAACAGUUGCCAGCAUGUCCUCCGGGAUGAUGGGGACACUGUUGGGACCGCCUCUGCUAAAGAGAGAGGAAUGGGCAACGGUAGGUCAGCAUGCCCCGAAUUAUCCGGGCUACACGCGGGCUACAAUGGUCAGGACAAUGGGUAUCGACACCGAAAGGUGAAGGCAAUCUCCUAAACCCAUCCGUAGUUCGGAUUGUGGGCUGCAACUCGCCCACAUGAAGCUGGAAUCUGUAGUAAUCGUGUCUCAAAAUGGCACGGUGAAUAUGUCCCUGCUCCUU
rnacentral:rRNA from 1 species